rnacentral:rRNA from 1 species
AUUGAACGCUGGCGGCAGGCUUAACACAUGCAAGUCGAGCGGGGGAAGGUAGCUUGCUACCGGACCUAGCGGCGGACGGGUGAGUAAUGCUUAGGAAUCUGCCUAUUAGUGGGGGACAACAUCUCGAAAGGGAUGCUAAUACCGCAUACGUCCUACGGGAGAAAGCAGGGGGUCUUCGGACCUUGCGCUAAUAGGUGAGCCUAAGUCGGAUUAGCUAGUUGGUGGGGUAAAGGCCUACCAAGGCGACGAUCUGUAGCGGGUCUGAGAGGAUGAUCCGCCACACUGGGACUGAGACACGGCCCAGACUCCUACGGGAGGCAGCAGUGGGGAAUAUUGGACAAUGGGGGGAACCCUGAUCCAGCCAUGCCGCGUGUGUGAAGAAGGCCUUAUGGUUGUAAAGCACUUUAAGCGAGGAGGAGGCUACUCUAGUUAAUACCUAGGGAUAGUGGACGUUACUCGCAGAAUAAGCACCGGCUAACUCUGUGCCAGCCGCCGCGGUAA